GAGGUACACAAAGCAGACAAAUCUCAAGCUUACAGAUCAAUCCAAACUUUAUUCUUCUUUCCUUUAAAAUUGUUCGUUCUCUCAAUUAUGAGAUUUUUGGGCUACAUUCAGGCUUUUGCUGGAAAAAAGCACCAUCUUUUCUUAGAAACAGUACAAACUUAGAAACAGUUCACGUAAUGAAUGACUCCAUACUCAACGCUCAAUUAUUUAUUUAUUUUAUUUGAAACUAUUAAUUCCUAUUAGUUUUAUCAGCAACGUGUAUCAAUUUCAUUUUGGCCAUUCCAGGCUUUUUACUCAAAGUUCUCACAUUCUAAGAAGCAUUUAUCUGAACAUAACCAAGUCACUUGUAGGUUACAGAAUACGCACAUAGAAAUUAAUUGGACUGCUUACUGGAAGCGUUCUCCAGCCCAGCUCAUACUGCCGUGACAGGUAUUUUUGAACAUUCAGGUGAUUGAUUCUAGGUACCGUGUCUGCUGUUUCCCUAUUCUCAUUCCUUAUGUACAAUGUUCCCAUUAAAUCUGACUUCAAAGAAAUCAGAUUAUGAGUGUGCUUUUCACUCGCAAGACUUUUUGUAAUAAACUGAGUAUCGCACCAAUACCUGGAUUUAGAAGACAGAAGUGUUGUAAGUCCACUGCUAGCACUGCCCAGUCCAGUGAGCAACUCCUGGACCACACGACAAGAUAAAUGCCACUUCUCUUCCAGAUGGGGAUAAAAUACUGUGGAAUGUAAAGCUACAGAAAUCCGUGGAACCCAGAGACAGUGUCUUCUCGUGCCAAAGGCUUAGAUACCCCCUACCCAAAGGUCUGCCUAUGCACAAAGAAGGCAGCAACAUGAGUUAUCUGAAGACUGUGAAAUUUCUUUGAAGACGACAACAUCUCAUCAUUUUACAGCCAGCAUUUUUGUUUGCACAUUCUGUUUAAUUGGCAGGAUUCUUCCUAAACUCUUCGGAAAUGUUUUUUUCUUUAAUGGGAUUCUGGUUUUAAGUAUCUCCAUUUUUGUCUCAAGCCACACUGGAACAACAAAGCUGCAAUUGACAAGCACAAAGCAAUUGAUCCGCAGAUCUGUCACUCUCAAUAUUUAGAGAAAUUGACGCAUGUGAAAGCAGUGCCUGCCCUUCAAAAACGUGGACGUAAUGAAAUACCCACAGACCAAGCAAGACCCUUCUUACUUUGAAUACAUCGUCUUGUUCAGCUGAGCAUCUGAAUUAACGUAUAAAUGCUGAAGUUAUC
rnacentral:lncRNA from 1 species